GGGGGUGUUCUGGUUUUGACAUCAGAUUAAUUGGUCGGCAAGCGUGCCGAGCUCUGUCAGUCAGCUCGUUAAUAUCAGACUUUCAGCCAUUAAUUGGCAACACUAAUGUAAGACUCGCUGCGUAAUCUGCCAAGCAGACACGCUUAAUCCUUGAGGCACAAGGUGCUUCGGACGAGUAUCCCGCCUGGUUUUCCGUCUUCUUGGGCCUGGCAUACGGGGUAUCAUCAAAAGAAGAAUGCGGAGGAAGACUCCUUUAACUCCUCCUAAGAUUUAAAGGAUAAGCUGCAGUUUUGCCUGCUUCGGGGCGGGAUUGCAGACGAAAACCAAACUGAAGAUACGCACGUAGAAAACCGGUUGGUGGUCUGGUUGGACAGCGGUUCGACUCCGCUCACCUCCACU
rnacentral:tmRNA from 1 species